UGGCUCAGUGGUAAAGCUCCUGCCUGCAGUGCAGGAGACCCAGGUUCGAUCCCUGG
rnacentral:tRNA from 1 species